GUGGGGAUAUUGCACAGUGGGGGAAACCCUGAUGCAGCGACGCCGCGUGGGUGAAGAAGCGCCUCGGCGCGUAAAGCCCUGUCAGCAGGGAAGAAAAUGACGGUACCUGAAGAAGAAGCCCCGGCUAACUACGUGCC
rnacentral:rRNA from 1 species